rnacentral:rRNA from 1 species
GGUUCGAUCAUAACAGAUCAUCAUGGGAUGUUUACACAUGCAAGUCGAACGGCAGCACGGACUUAUCUGCGGCGAAAGGGCGAAACUGGUGAGGAACAUCGAACGUCAGUAGCGGGGAUGAACUAUCGAAAGCGUAGCUACUACCGCAUACGCCCUUCGGGGGAAAGCAAAAUCCGGCCUCGCACCAUGAGCGCCGAUAUCGACACAGUUGGGGUAACGGCUCACCAAGGCGACGAUCCGUAGCUGGCUUGAGGACCAGCCACACUGUGGGGACUGGAGGACACGGCCCAGACCCCGGCGGAGGCAGCAGUAAAAUUCGGGACAAUGGGAACCCUGAUCCAGCCAUCCUGCGUGCGAUGAAGGCCUUUGGCCAUAAAAGCACUUCGGCAGGAAGUAAACGCGUACUGGAUAAUACCCUGCGUGAAUCGACGGCACCGCAGAACAAGCACCGGCUAACUACGCCAGCAGCCGCAUGGUGGGUGCGCGUUAACGAAUUACUGAAGGUGAAGGCAGCAGGUGGCCCGGAAAGAAAGAUGUGAAAUCCAGAGCUUAACUUUGGAACUGCAUUUCUUAACUACCGAGUUAUGUAUUAUGAGAGGUGAAUCUCGCGGGCAGUGAAAUGCGUAGAUAUGCGGAGGAAACACCUCUGAUGUGGCGAAGGCAGCCUCCGGGAUAACACGCUCAUGCACGAAAGCGUGGGAGCAAACAGGAUUGAUACCCGGUAGUCCACGCGCUCUGGAACGAUGUCAACUAGCUGUUGGGGCCUUUCGGGCCUAGUAGCGCAGCUGUUCAGUGAAGCGACCGCCUGGGAGCAUGGUCGCAAGAUUGAAACUCAAAGGAAUUGACGGGGACCCGCACAAGCGGUGGAUGACAUGUGGAUUAAUUCGAUGCAACGCGAAAACUCACCACCCUUGACAUGUCUGGAAUCCCGAAGAGAUUUGGAGUGUCUGCAAGAGAAUCCAGAACACAGAAAAGGCAUGGCCGUCGUCAGCUCGUCGCAGGUGAUGUUGGGCUAAGUCCCGCAAUCAAGCGCAACCCUUGUCGCCAUACAUGGUAAGGGAACAUCGACGAGAUUGUCGGUGAUGAAAACCGAGGAAGGUGGGGAUGACGUUUCCGGCCCCAUAUCUUUAUGGUAGGUCACACGUCAGGCGCACCAAGAACAUGUAGGUCGCCAACCCGCGAGGUAGGCGCCAAUCCCAGAAACCCGAUCAGUCCGAUCAGGAAGUCUGCAACCGACUGCGUGAAGUCGGAAUCGCUAGUAAUCGCGGAUCAGGCAUGUCGCGGUGAAGGCCCUGGCCCGGUACACACCGCCCGUCACACCAGGGCGGGUUCACCAGGAAGUAGUUAGCCUAACCGUAAGGGAGGGCGAUUACCAUGUAGAUCUGACAUCAGUGGCGCUGCAACAUGU